CUUUUUUUUUUUUUUUUUUUGCGGUACGCGGGCCUCUCACUGUUGUGGCCUCUCCCGUUGCGGAGCACAGGCUCCGGACGCGCAGGCUCAGUGGCCAUGGCUCAAGGGUCCAGCCGCUCCGCGACCUGUGGGAUCUUCCCGGACCUCCCCUGCAUCGGCAGGCGGUCUCUCAACCACUGCGCCACCAGGGAAGCCCCCAAGGUCCAGCCUUUUCCCCGGACUCCCUCCCGGCUAGCCGCGGUGCAGUAACGCCCUGCAGGCUGUGUUCACGCCGCCAACCUCAGUCCUCUCCCGGCGCUCCGACAUAAGCCGGAGCCUCAGCUCCCAGCCCCGCCAGGCGAGCAGACAAGCCUCUCGGCUGGUACGUGGGGGGUUCCUUGCCUUUGGGAGGUCUGAGGUCUUCUGCCAGCGUUCAGUAGGUGCUCCGUAGGAGUUGUUCCACGCGUAGAUGUAUUUCUGGUGUAUCUGUGGGGAGGAAGGUGAUCUCCGAGUCUUACUCUUCUGCCAUCUUCCCGGAAGUGGGAAGCUGAAAAUGUUAACCUUUUAAAUAAGUCUGUAACUGUAUCCCACUAUGGUUUAGUUGCCUUUCCCUGAUGUUGCAUGAUGUUGAGCAUUUUUUCAUUUGU